CAAGGGGCAUACUGUUUCCCUUUCUGAGAAGAUAAUCAAUGACCCUCCAAGACUUGAGAGGAGUGACCUGAGUUUAGGAGAUAGUAGAACCCACCUAGAUCAUGAUGAUGAAAUCAAGACCUAGAGAAAUGUUUAAAAUCUAUUCCCAAUACACAUCACUAAUGGAGAAGGAUAGAGAUCCAACACCAAUUUCAGUACUUCAGGAAACCCAGCUAUUUAUUGCCACUUUUAGCAUAAACAAGGCUGCAUGUCAACUGAUGCAUAAUUUAUCUGCUUUUGACUGGAAUCACAUCAGCUCAGUCCAUUGGUUUCUCAUGGAGUGAGCUGAUGAACUGAACAGAAGUUUUGGUGUAAUCAACAAGCUGCUUGGAAUAUGCAUGAACUCCCCUAAUUUUAUGGAUGCCUUUAAUUCUGAAAGCAUCUUCUGGGAGAGAUUAGCCUUUUCCAUAAGUUUGGAUUUGAAAGCAAGCAGAAUGGAAAUAAGUCUGUGUUGUUCACAUGUGCUUUAGUUUUUGUGCACUUAAAAGUUUUUAAAGAACUUUUUUUAAAAAAACCUUCUAAUAUAACUCUUCUAUAAAAAUCAUACUUAAAAGAAAAUGUUUAAUGAUUUAAAAAAAUCUUAGAGAAAAGAGCCUCCCAUUACAUUUCUUUCUUUUUUUUUUCUUCCUGAGACGGAGUCUCACUCUGUCACCCAGGCUGGAGUGCAGUGGCACAAUCUCUGCUCCCUGCAACCUCCAUCUCCUGGGUUCAUGCGAUUCCCCUGCCUCAGCCUCCCGAGUAGCUGGGAUUACAGGCACCCACCACCACGCCCAGCUAAUUUUUGUAUUUGUAGUAGAGAUGUGGUUUCACCAUGUUGGCUAAGUUCGUGGUCUUAAACUCCUGACCUGGUGAUCCAUCCACCUCGGCCCCCCAAAGUGCUGGGAUUAUAGGCGUGAACCACCACGCCCGGCCCUCCCAUUACAUUUCUAAAAAAUAUUUGCACAAUUAAAAUAUCUCCAUGUGGGCUGGGUGAAGUGGCUCACGCCUGUAAUCCCAGUACUUUGGGAGGCCAAGGCGGGCAGUUCAAGACCAGACUGGCCAACAUGGUGAAACCCCGUCUCUAGGAAAAAUACAAAAAUUAGCAGGGUGUGGUGAUGUGCAGGUGUAAUCCCGUCUACUCAGGAGACUGAGGCACCGAUCCCUUGAACUCAGGAGGCAGAGGCUGCAGUGAGCUGAUAUUGCACCACUGCACUCCAGCCCAGGUGACAGAGCGAGAUUCUGUCUCAAAAGAAAACAAAACAAAACAAAACAAAACUCCAUGCACAUUGGUAUUAUAUUUUAAUUUUUUUUAAAAGCAUAUGGACCUCUUUCUGAUUUUUAAUGUCUUGAAAGUAAACACUCUUACUCAUUCCCUAUAAAGUAGUAUUUUGAAAUAAUAUCUCAAUUGACAUAAAAUACAUGUUACAAUGAGAAAAUUAUGAGCCAUAUUAACAUUGUGUGAAUAAUUGUAAAUGAACUCACCACAUUUUGAAAAUGCCCCUUGAAGACUAGUGUAUUUGUCUGUUCUUACACUUCUAAUAAAGACAUACUUAAUGAGAGGUGACAGCAUGCUGGCUGCCCUCACAGCCCU